rnacentral:miRNA from 1 species
UGUGAGGGUACGUGUGUGUGUGUGUGUGUGUGUGUGUGUGUGUGUGUGUGUGUCCUGCUACACGCAUGCACACUCCCGCCCCGACCC